rnacentral:rRNA from 1 species
ACGGAAGGCAGCAGUGGGGAAUAUUGGACAAUGGGGGAAACCCUGAUCCAGCGACGCCGCGUGAGUGAAGAAGUAUUUCGGUAUGUAAAGCUCUAUCAGCAAGGAAGAAAAUGACGGUACUUGACUAAGAAGCUCCGGCUAAAUACGUGCCAGCAGCCGCGGUAAUACGGAUGGAGCAAGCGUUAUCCGGAUUUACUGGGUGUAAAGGGAGCGUAGACGGCAAAGCAAGUCUGAAGUGAAAUCCCGGGGCUCAACCCCGGAACUGCUUUGGAAACUGUUUAGCUAGAGUGCAGGAGAGGUAAGCGGAAUUCCUAGUGUAGCGGUGAAAUGCGUAGAUAUUAGGAGGAACACCAGUGGCGAAGGCGGCUUACUGGACUGUAACUGACGUUGAGGCUCGAAAGCGUGGGGAGCAAACAGGAUUAGAUACCCUGGUA